rnacentral:misc_RNA from 1 species
GAUGAAGAACGCAGCAAAGUGCGAUAACUAGUGUGAAUUGCAUAUUCAGUGAAUCAUCGAGUCUUUGAACGCAACUUGCGCUCAAUGGUAUUCCAUUGAGCACGCCUGUUUCAGUAUCAAAAACACCCCACAUUCAUAAUUUUGUUGUGAAUGGAAAUGAGAGUUUCGGCUUCAUUGCUGAAUUCUUUAAAAUUAUUAGGCCUGAACUAUUGUUCUUUCUGCCUGAACAUUUUUUUAAUAUAAAGGAAUGCUCUAGUAAAAAGACUAUCUCUGGGGCCUCCCAAAUAAAUCAUUCUUAAAUUUGAUCUGAAAUCAGGCGGGAUUACCCGCUGAACUUAAGCAUAUCAAUAAGCGGAGGA